rfam:Rhodotorula graminis WP1 unplaced genomic scaffold RHOBAscaffold_13, whole genome shotgun sequence.
GGCGAGAUAGUAUAAUGGCUAGUACACUCGGUUCUGACUUACUCUGCUUCCGAGCAAUCUGGGUUCGAUCCCCAGUCACGCCU